rfam:Thermus thermophilus HB8 genomic DNA, complete genome.
GCCGGGGUGGCGGAAUUGGUAGACGCGCAUGAUUCAGGGUCAUGUGCCCGCAAGGGCGUGCGGGUUCAAGUCCCGCCCCCGGCA